rnacentral:lncRNA from 1 species
CCGGACCCUGGAGGCAGUAUUCCACGCUACGGGCAAACAGCUGGGGCAGAAGGAAACCCAACUGCCCGGCCGAGACCCCAGGGCCGCCAAGUAACAGCAGGGGCCCUCCCAAGCAGCAUGACCUGCUGCCUGUGGAGUGUGGUUUUCUGAUCAGGAAUGUCUGAUGUACUCGAACCAGCCCCAGGCAUGGCAAGAAGGAGACCCACCUGCCAUGCCGGCCAUACGGGAGCACCAGAGUGGGUCAGGAAGCAGAAAGGAGAAGCAGAAAGUGGUUCCCACGGGAAGGACCAGACGAGGCAAACGCUUCGUGGUGCUGGUGCUGUGAAGUUCACAUUCUAGUCUGACUCAGCCCUCGUGCAGGGACCGCGACGGAGGCGACUCUGUGACAUACGCCGCGUCCGAUCCGUUAUUAAUCACUGUAAAUCUGGAAUAAUCUCUACAAACAUAUUUUGUUCCCUACAAAUGUAUUUGUGCCCACUUUCUCUAAUAAAUCUUAUGUCAGACUGGCUAUUGUCUCUCUUCACACAGCAUCUCCCAGCUGAAAUAUUUAAGCCAUAUAUGAGCAAUAAUAAAAAUCGCUUGCUACAGUCACUUUUGUUUUAGGAAAACAGACCACAAUAGGCAGCAGAUUUAUGACUUACAGAGGACUCCAUUUGGGGCUGUAUUUUUUCUCCCCCCGGUGGAUUAUUUUCUAGCUUUCAAAAAUCACUGACGAACUCCAUGUUUGUCCCUGACUUCAUGCAGAAAGGGCAAGA